GGGCUGUGGCUCAGUGGUAGAGCACUUGCCUAGCACAUGUGAGGCACUGGGUUCAAUUCUCAGCUCCA
rnacentral:tRNA from 1 species